AAUGAACGCUGGCGGCAUGCCUAACACAUGCAAGUCGAACGGAAGCAUGACCUAGCUUGCUAGGUUGAUGGCGAGUGGCGCACGGGUGAGUAAUGCAUCGGAACGUGCCUUUUAGUGGGGGAUAACGUAGCGAAAGUGACGCUAAUACCGCAUAUUCUCUGAGGAGGAAAGCAGGGGGGCUUCGGGCCUUGCGGUAGACGAGUGGCCGAUGUCGGAUUAGCUAGUUGGUGAGGUAAAGGCUCACCAAGGCAACGAUCCGUAGCCGGUCUGAGAGGAUGAUCCGCCACACUGGGACUGAGACACGGCCCAGACUCCUACGGGAGGCAGCAGUGGGGAAUUUUCGGCAAUGGGCGCAAGCCUGAUGCAGCCACGCCGCGUGAGUGAAGAAGGCCUUCGGGUUGUAAAACUCUUUUGUCUGGGAAGAAAACACGCGUUCUAAUACAGGGUCUUGUUGACGGUACCAGCAUAAGAAGCCCCGGCUAACUACGUG
rnacentral:rRNA from 1 species